CUCANCCUGGGAACUGCGUUCUGAACUGGGUAGCUAGAGUAUNUCAGAGGGGGGUAGAAUUCCACGUGUAGCAGUGAAAUGCGUAGAGAUGUGGAGGAAUACCGAUGGCGAAGGCAGCCCCCUGGGAUAAUACUGACGUUCAUGCUNGAAAGCGUGGGUAGCAAACAGGAUUAGAUACCCUGGUAGUCCACGCCCUAAACGAUGUCGAUUAGCUGUUGGGCAACUUGAUUGCUUAGUAGCGUAGCUAACGCGUGAAAUCGACCGCCUGGGGAGUACGGUCGCAAGAUUAAAACUCAAAGGAAUUGACGGGGACCCGCACAAGCGGUGGAUGAUGUGGAUUAAUUCGAUGCAACGCGAAGAACCUUACCUGGUCUUGACAUGUACGGAAGAACUCAGAGACGAGUUUGUGCCUUCGGGAGCCGUAACACAGGUGCCGCAUGGCUGUCGUCAGCUCGUGUCGUGAGAUGUUGGGUUAAGUCCCGCAACGAGCGCAACCCUUGUCAUUAGUUGCCAUCAUUUAGUUGGGCACUCUAAUGAGACUGCCGGUGACAAACCGGAGGAAGGUGGGGAUGACGUCAAGUCCUCAUGGCCCUUAUGACCAGGGCUUCACACGUCAUACAAUGGUCGGUACAGAGGGUAGCCAAGCCGCGAGGUGGAGUCAAUCCCAGAAAACCGAUCGUAGUCCGGAUUGCACUCUGCAACUCGAGUGCAUGAAGUCGGAAUCGCUAGUAAUCGCAGGUCAGCAUACUGCGGUGAAUACGUUCCCGGGUCUUGUACACACCGCCCGUCACACCAUGGGAGUGGGGGAUACCAGAAGUAGGUAGGGUAACCGCAAGGAGCCCGC
rnacentral:rRNA from 1 species